rnacentral:lncRNA from 1 species
UGAGGGGGAGGCCUCUGCCCCCAGAGCUGCCCUUCCCGGGCUCUCGGAGAGGAUGCUUUAUCACUGACCCGGUGACUAUUUCUGGGCAGUUUAAAUCCUAGAUAGUGGCAUCUGCAAAACCUUGAUAUCCUAUUAAUGACUGAACGCGGAUUUCAGUCUGGUUAGCCAGUGAUCCAGCCUGUAUCUGCGGGUGGCACCUGCUCAGCCUGCAUGCCUGAGGCUCUGAGCAGACCAGUCCCCAAGACACCCAGCCUGCCCAGGGAAGAUGGGCUGCGUGGCAGCUGUAACAGUACCAGGAGCUUGUUUUGCAACUACAGAGAAUACCUGGAGUGGCCCCACUAGGCCGGCCCUCAUGGCAUCCUCAUCACACAGGCAGGGACCCCGAGGCCUGCCUCCCCUCAAAGCUGGUGCUCGGGACGCCGGCAUCUCUGGUCAUCCACUCCCUGGGUGCUCACCUGCAGUCAGACCUAUCAGAACAGGAGUCUUAGCAUUAAACGGAGGAGGCAGGUGGGCAUCAGUGCCGGGGGCGGCAAUGCCAGUGGGCCGCCCGCCUCCCCCUCCCCGCCGCCUCCUGUUCCCGCCCCUCGGAUUUCUGACAGCUCUGGGAACCUGUGAGAGGAGCCUUUGCCUGUAGCUUUCCAGUGGGAGAUUUCCAGUCCAGUAGUCUGGUUUCUUCCAAGGCAGCAACCCAUCAGCCACCUGCCUGAUGGGAGUUAUUGUGAGGACGGAGUUUGUGUGUGGAAAGUGUAGACGGUGCCUGGUACUUUGCGGGUGCAGCCGGAGUGAUUAUUUUAUUAUUAACGUGCAUGGUUGAUAGGUAGGUGGUGUUUCAUUUCAUCUCCCAGGCAGCCUGGAAGGCAGGUGGUUGUGGCCUCUCUUGCCUGCAGCUGGUGAUUCUGACCCAGUGUUUUCGGGCUGCGAAGCUCUUACCACCCGGGAGAUUGUGAGCAGUCAUUUCCACUGACCCGACCCUGAACUUCUCCAUCCACUGCUUAAACCUCUGCACAGCUUCCUCUUCUAGCACUGAGCUCAGCAGGACCCUGCUGAGUUAGGAUCUGCUCUGAAGUCAUUGCUGUUUAGCAUUAUUUGGGUGUACUGUCCCCGAGGUUUCCAUAGGAUUCAGACAGAGGACUUAUUAUGGCUACCAAGUGAAAUAGCUUUAGUUAAAAAGUUAGGGUUAUGGAGUCCCUUUGUGGUGCAGCAGGUUAAGGAUCUGGCAUUGUCACUGCAGCGGCUUGGGUUGCCCCUGUGGCAAGGGUUUGGUCCGUGGUUCGGGGAAUUUCCGCAUGCCGUCGGCGAGGUCAAAAAAGGUUAAAAAAAAUUAGGGUUAUAUAAGAUGCUUUUGCACAUAUCCUUUCUGCUGGGGUUGGGGACUAGCAAGCAGCCUCCCAUUGGAAUCGAGCUUUUCCUGGUGGAACCAAGCACCGUCUUCCCUUCUCAGUCGCUACCGUGACAGGUAGACAGGUCAGGUCUGGCUUGCUCACCUGUGAUGCUGCUGCUCAAGUCUUCUCCAUUAUGAGGCUUUGGCCCUGGAAGGUUGUACCUGAUUUCACUGUGCGGGCCUGGGGCUGUGCACCCAAGACAGCAGUGGCCACGCCCGGCCGCUUCAGGUGCUUUGCUCUCUGAGAGGUUCUGAUGGUGCUGUCCUUGUUCUGUCCUUGCUCGUCCUCGUGUAUCCUCCUCUAGACAGCUCCUGUCUCGAAAGCUCCUUCGCCGCAGGGCGUGCGGAGCUCUGCUCAUCCUGGGAUCUGAGGCCUCUGCCUUGGUCUCGAGGAACAGGAAGUGGAGGUGCCCUGAGACAGCAGACUCUCCCCCUGGACUCCAGGACGCAGGGCCACUGCCCCCCUCCCCCAUAUCAGCUGGAUUCGCGGUCACCACCUCGUAUCCUCUCCACCCGAGCCCGAGGAGGUCUGUGUCCUCGAGAGCAGGUGAGGAAAGGGUUAGUGACUUGCCCAAGGGCGCCUGGCUGCUUGGCGGCAGAAUCGGCAUCCCCAGCCAGCUCCACCUCACUCCUGCCCCUCUAGGUAUCAGGUCCCACCGUGGUGACUGAAGAGGUCUGGGUUUGGGUGAGAAGCUGGAAGGGUUUUUUGGUCCGGGUUAUUGAAAAUGAAAGACGCUGGAACUUUCUGAGCCGUGGUCUGUUUUUAGAAAGAUGCUUGCUAAACCUGCGCAUGUCAGCGGAGUCUUGGCGACCGCCACCGGAGGGCUGCUCCUUGGCAUUCCGGUCAGCCUUGUUGUUCUUUGUCUACAUCCUGGUGGUUGUGACAGCCCCUCAUUGACGAAACUGCCCGGGUGCCCUGGCCUUCUUCCCGUGCAGCCGCCGUCCCAGCCUGCGCACCACGGUCAGUGUCAGGUUGCAUGGGGACCUGGGGGCAGAGACCUUGAGCAGGGUGAGCUGGUUACCCUCAUGAUGCCUGCUAAAUUCUGUUCCUUAUCCUCGGAGGGAGGAAAGACGAAGGAUCUGUCCCCUGCUCAGAGCUGUGGGUACUGUCCCCCUGUGACACUGUCCCUGACCUGCAGGCUGUGGCUCCACUAUGUUGAAUGAGUGCAUGUCUAGUGGGUCCUUAAUAAAGAUAGGCAACCACCUCCCAGUAGAUUGAAUCAAAUGAAAUUGCAGUUCUCCUAGGUCAAAAAUGGCUGAAUACCAGCAUUUUGUAAUACAGACUAAACACUAGGGUGGGGAGGUUCCAGAAUGAGCCUUUGGACUUGAGCCCUUGGCCAGAUCUGGCUUCUUAGGACAUGAGUGUUGGGCUUCUGGUCAGUUGGUGUCACUCUAGUCAGUUUAAGUCACUUUAAGGGGUGGGGGGUGACAAGAAUGGAAGGAGUCUGCCCCUGGAUUUCAGUUAUCACUCUGCUGCUGGCCAGGCUACUCCUGGCACUGAAGGCAAUCUGGAGGCGCUGGCAGUGGUAGGAUCAGGGCCUGGUAGGAAUAGGGGUCCUGAUUGCACCGUUCGCUGUUUGCUGUUGGCUCAGCACGUCGUGGGCGCUGAGUACCUGGCCCAAGGUCACACAACUGGCCGUCCUUGGAGUUGAAGGCAGUCUUCUUUUUUGGGGGGCGGGGCGGGGGCGCUGUGCUCACAGUAUGUGGAAGUUUCUGUGCCAAGGAUUCAACUCACACCACAGCAGUGACAAUGCCAGAUCCUUAAACUGCUGGGCCACCAGGGAACUCCCUUGAAGGUAGUCUUGAUUCCAAAGUCCAGGGCAGUGAAGGGCAGGUUCUGGAGCCUGACUGCCUUGGUUUGGGUCCAAACCUCCUGCCUUGGGUCCCCUCCUUCUCUCCCCGCCUCAGUUUCCUUGUCUCACAGUGUAAUGGUGGGAAUAAGAGUAUCUAUUUCUGAUGGAUUUUAUGAAGAUUAAAUGAGUUAAUACAUGCCAAGCCAGAGAAUAACAUUAACCACUGUUAUUAAUAAUACUAUGUUAUUAUCAGUGACAUGAACUCCUGGCAUAUUAUUACAGCCGAAAGAAACAUGUAAAUUCCGUCUGCUUUGUGUUGGAAGGAGUUUGGACUUUGUGUCAAAGUCGGGCUCACAGAGAUGGCGUUGCUUCUCCCAUAGCUCACGGGAAAUGAACCCUCGUCAGUGUGGGCCUUGCGGAGUGUGCACCUGCCUCUCCGUGAACAAAUUGCUUGAAAUGGUGUUUUUGUUCCAGGUUAUAAUAAAAGUCACUCUUCUGGAAAAUGGCUUAAUUUUUUUUUCUUCUUUCUUGGCAUGAGUGGCCACCCCUCGAGUGCCAGUUAUAUAUGUAUGGUGCCCAGAGCUUUUGAGGGGAGCAGGACGUGGUGCUAAUCGUUGAUCCCCCCCCCCCCAUUUUUCCUCUUCUGAAGGUGCAGGUUUUCGUAGGGGCUCUCAGCUGCUACUGGUAGCAGUGUUCGUUUGUGAACUGCUACAGACCUGCCAGACCUCACUGCCUUGGGAAUUUCAUGCUUUAGUGGAAGGACAUGUGUUUGAUUCUUAGGCUUGUAUAGUGUUGGGGUUUAGGGGUGUAGGAAGAAGGCAAGAUAAAAAAACAUGGAAGGAGCAAUGGUUGCUGGAAGGCAGCCUGGCGUGGUACAGUGGCAGGAGACUCCUGGAUCUGGCUGCCUAGGGACUGUUUGAGCUUGAACUACCUGCUUCGUCUCUCUGAGCCUCAACUUCCUCAUCAGUAAAAUGGACAUAAUAUCCUCCCCUCCACAGAGGAUUAAAUAAGAAUGAUAUAUAUAUGAAGUGCUUUAGCUCAGGCCUCACAUGUGGGUUCCUCAUUAUGUACAGGAAUUUCAUCAUUGGUCUUGCAAUUUAGCGCCAUUCCCCAGAAAAGAGAAUUGAAUUAAGGAUACUGUAAAUCUGAAGUGCAGGUGUCAUGGUGACACUGAGGAGAGGCCCCCCUGAACUCCAGCUUCCCAGGUGCUUGCUCUUGACUUAGAGGAUUUAUCACGCAAGGGGACUUGUGUGGGGCAGGUCCCUCUGUGCUGAACGUCAUAGGCACCAUCUCGUAAUCUUGCCCAUAGCCUUGGUCAUGCUCCCAUUUUGCAGGUGUGAAAACGGAGGCCUAGGAGGUUAAGAGGUAUCUCGCAGAGGGUCACACAGCUAGUAAGGGACAGAAGUGGCCUUUAAACUUGGCCCUGAUUCCAAAAUCCAGCUCUCAGUACACACUGGAGUCUGGUCUAAGGAUGCAUGUUCUUUUUUUCUCUUUUUCAAGUUUUAUAGAUGUGUAAUUGAUUGACAGUGCUGUGCGUUUUCGUGUACAGAAGAACGUACUCUAUGCUGAUGGUUCUAACAGAGGUUCUUUAGCACUUUUAAAACUCUUUGCAGCUCGAAGCUUCCUGCUAGGCGGCUGCCUCAGGUUUGGCUCCAAUGCGUCGGAGCCCAUCUUCAGAUGGGACAGGAGUGAACGUGUGGUGGAAGCAGUUCUUCGCUCACAAGGGAGCCUUGUGUCCCACGUAGACUUCUGACCCACAGAGAGUGGAAGCACUUUUGAGGCCCGAGGACUGUAGAGUCUUUAUUCCUCCCCGCACCAUCUGCUCUGCUUUGUGCAGAUCCAGGCAGACUCUAAAAUGAUGCAGCAUAAGCUGUCAGUGACCAGGCUAGUGUUGAAACUGGGGACUGGUUCCUGACUAUGUCAUACUGUGGCUGGGGCCAGAAAUGAGCGGAGAGGCCAUAGUUACUGCCCUGCUCCAUAACCAGUGAUACUGGUCAUUGCAGCCCCAAAGGGUAAAACCAAACAAAGGUACUGAGUGAGGUUCUUGUCCUCGGAGAGAUGAGAGUGCGGGGCUCUAGGUGGCACCACCUAUAUCUGCAAGAUGGGCAGGGGUCUCCUGCCCUCUGUUACUUGUCACUUCGUUUGGCACUGGGCCCUAUUCCUGGGGAAUAGGUCUAGUCUUCCCAGUUACUUAACCACUUGGCUUUCUUCCUUCCUUCCUUUAAAUAACCUCCUUCCUCCAGGGGCAUUUAUCUAACUGCUAGCUGGAAUUCCCUUGUCCUUUUGCCUCCUCUAAAACGGGCUUUGUAAGGCCUUUGUGUCGAUGGACUAUUGACUUCCCUCCUCUCCCCUCCCCUCCCUUCCCCGCCUGUGACAUCCAGAGGUUCUCAGGCCAGGGAUUGAAUCUGUGCCACAGCAUCGACAAUACCAGAUCCCUAAUCUGCUGCGCCACAAGGGACUUCCUUUUUUUUUUUUUUUCUCUGUAAAGAAUGAUAUUGGAGAGUGGUGCAGUGGGUUAAGGAUCCGGCGAUGUCUCUGCUGCAGCUUGGGUUUGAUCCUUGGCCUGGUGCAGUGGUUUAAGGAUAUCCAGCGUGGCUGCAGCUGCAGCUUGGAUUCGAUCCCUGGCCUGGGAACUUCCAUGUGCCGCAGGUGUGGCCUUGGGGGAGGGGGGGAGAAUGAGAUUGAACUU